UACGUAGGAGACGAGCGUUGUCCGGAAUCACUGGGCGUAAAGCGCGUGUAGGCGGAUGGGCAAGUCUGCUGUGAAAGCUCCUGGCUUAACCGGGAGUGGUCGGUGGAAACUGCCAAUCUGGAGGACGGUAGAGGUAGGUAGAAUUCCCCGGUGUAGUGGUGAAAAUGCGUAGAGAUCGGGGAGGAAUACCGUGGCGAAGGCGACUCUUUUGGCCUGUAACUACGUG
rnacentral:rRNA from 1 species